CCUAAGACAUCUGGAGGGCUAUCUAUUUGAAGCCUGAAAUCUGCCUGAGACAGGUGAGGAUUUCCUGUGAGCGAAGUUCUUGUGCAAGAAACAUGUUGCAAUUGGCAUCCUCAACACGUUUCCGGAAGGUGUGGGAAGAGGGAACUGCACUGCCCAAAAAAACUGUUCUUGCCCUUACUCUGGAGUACGGGGGGCGGUGAGGCACUGAUCAUUCCAGCUUUUCCCCUUUCUGUGGCUGCAAAACAGAAGGAUCCCUGGCCAAGCUGACAUGCUACGAUGCUCUCCAAACUACUUCUCCUCCUCUGCUUCAGUAAGUCUCACAGGGCUGUACAUGGAGAACACAGAAAAAAAGGGCUGUGUGUCGGCCAAGCAGACCGAGGAAGAGCUGAGGCGCUUCCCAAGCCCUCCCUCAGGGCCUGGCCCAGCUCCGUGGUCCCCGCUGGGAGCUCUGUGACCCUGCGAUGCAGGACUCCCACCAGGGAUGUAAGCUUCGCUCUCAGGAAGGGGGCACGCGUCUGGGAGAUGGUCCAGUCACCCGACUCCACAGAGGACCGGGCUGAAUUCCAUCUCCCCGAUGUAAAGUCCAGCGACGCGGGCGAGUACACCUGCGAAUACCACAGGAGGGGGAACCCCCACGUGAGCGCACGGCCCAGCGACGCCCUGCUACUGCUGGUGACGGGGUAUCUCCGUCAACCUUCCCUCCAAGCGCACCGAAGGGGGCCAGUGACCGAAGGGCAAGAGGUGACCCUGCAGUGCCAGAGGCCGGCCGCGGAGCUGGGGCCGGUCAUGUUCGCCCUGCUCAAGGCAGGAAGCGCAGCGCCGGUGCAGGUCCGGGCGCCGGCCGGGCGGGAGACCGACUUCUCCCUGUGGAACUUGAGCGCCGGCGACAGCGGGAACUACAGCUGCGUGUACUACCAGGCCAGGGCCCCUUUCCGGGCUUCACAGGCCAGUCCUCGCCUUGAGAUCCGGGUGGCGGGGAACACUGCUGGUGAUGGUUUAGAGAAGAGCUUGGCACUGACUGGGAUGUAUAGGGGGAAGACACGAACACAGGCUUCUCUUUAGGAACCAAGACCAAUGCCAGGCUGGAGCCCUUCUUGGCUGAAGCGGAGAUCCUCCAAGGUCCAGAUGCUGGGCUACUAAGCUCAGUUUUCUAGACUCACUGCCGGCAUGAAGCUUCCCUGCCUUCCAUAACCUCGGAUUACACCACGGGGAACCACAUCAGACUCGCUCUAGCCGCCGUAAUUAUGGUUAUUGCAGGGGCUUUCCUGCUCGAAGCCUGGUGUAGGCAGAGGCACGUCCGCG